GCUGGCGGCGUGCCUAUACAUGCAAGUCGAGCGAAUGGAUUAAGAGCUUGCUCUUAUGAAGUUAGCGGCGGACGGGUGAGUAACACGUGGGUAACCUGCCCAUAAGACUGGGAUAACUCCGGGAAACCGGGGCUAAUACCGGAUAACAUUUUGAACCGCAUGGUUCGAAAUUGAAAGGCGGCUUCGGCUGUCACUUAUGGAUGGACCCGCGUCGCAUUAGCUAGUUGGUGAGGUAACGGCUCACCAAGGCAACGAUGCGUAGCCGACCUGAGAGGGUGAUCGGCCACACUGGGACUGAGACACGGCCCAGACUCCUACGGGAGGCAGCAGUAGGGAAUCUUCCGCAAUGGACGAAAGUCUGACGGAGCAACGCCGCGUGAGUGAUGAAGGCUUUCGGGUCGUAAAACUCUGUUGUUAGGGAAGAACAAGUGCUAGUUGAAUAAGCUGGCACCUUGACGGUACCUAACCAGAAAGCCACGGCUAACUACGUGCCAGCAGCCGCGGUAAUACGUAGGUGGCAAGCGUUAUCCGGAAUUAUUGGGCGUAAAGCGCGCGCAGGUGGUUUCUUAAGUCUGAUGUGAAAGCCCACGGCUCAACCGUGGAGGGUCAUUGGAAACUGGGAGACUUGAGUGCAGAAGAGGAAAGUGGAAUUCCAUGUGUAGCGGUGAAAUGCGUAGAGAUAUGGAGGAACACCAGUGGCGAUGGCGACUUUCUGGUCUGUAACUGACACUGAGGCGCGAAAGCGUGGGGAGCAAACAGGAUUAGAUACCCUGGUAGUCCACGCCGUAAACGAUGAGUGCUUAGUGUUAGAGGGUUUCCGCCCUUUAGUGCUGAAGUUAACGCAUUAAGCACUCCGCCUUGGAAGUACGGCCCGCAUGCUGGAUCUCAAUGAAUUGAACGGGGCCGGCACAUAGCGUGGAACAUGUUGUUUAAUUCGAUACAACGGGAAAGACCUUAACAAGUCCUGACAUUCUUUGACAACCCUUGAGAUUAGGCUUUUCCCUCGGGAACCAAAUGACCAGUGGUGCAUGGUUGUUGUCAAGUUGGGUUGUGAGAUGGUGGGUUUAGUUCCGCCACGAGCGCAUCCCUUGAUUUUUAUUGCCCAUCCGGAAGAAAGUGGGGAUGACGUUCAAUUAUCCUGCCCCUUAUGACCUGGGGUUCACACGUGGUUCAAUUGACGGUUCAAAGAAGUGCAAGGCCGGGAAGUGGAAGUUAUUUUAUUAAACCGGUUUCAAUUUGGAUUGUUGGGUGCAACUUGCCUUCCAGAAAGCGGAAUUGGUUGUUAUUGGGGAUUAACCAGGCGCAGUGAAUUCGUUUCCGGGCCUUGUUCCCCCCGCCCGUCACCUCUCUUGUGAAGUGUGCACUCCGAAGUCCGGGGGUUCUCCUUUCGUCCAGCCGCUAUGUGCGAUAUG
rnacentral:rRNA from 1 species